UCCUCUCUUAAUUGUGGUGUCAGCUUCCUU
rnacentral:piRNA from 1 species